CCUACGGGAGGCAGCAGUGGGGAAUAUUGCACAAUGGGGGAAACCCUGAUGCAGCGACGCCGCGUGAGUGAAGAAGUAAUUCGUUAUGUAAAGCUCUAUCAGCAGGGAAGAAAAUGACGGUACCUGAGUAAGAAGCCACGGCUAACUACGUGCCAGCAGCCGCGGUAAUACGUAGGGGGCAAGCGUUAUCCGGAUUUACUGGGUGUAAAGGGAGCGUAGACGGCAGUGCAAGUCUGUAGUGAAAGGCUGGGGCUCAACCCUCGGACUGCUCUGGAAACUGUACGGCUGGAGUGCAGGAGAGGUAAGUGGAAUUCCUAGUGUAGCGGUGAAAUGCGUAGAUAUUAGGAGGAACACCAGUGGCGAAGGCGGCUUACUGGACUGUAACUGACGUUGAGGCUCGAAAGCGUGGGGAGCAAACAGGAUUAGAUACUCUGGUAGUC
rnacentral:rRNA from 1 species